UUCGCCCUUAGAGUUUGAUCCUGGCUCAGGACGAACGCUGGCGGCGCGCCUAACACAUGCAAGUCGAACGAGCGAGAGAGAGCUUGCUUUCUUGAGCGAGUGGCGAACGGGUGAGUAACGCGUGAGGAACCUGCCUCAAAGAGGGGGACAACAGUUGGAAACGACUGCUAAUACCGCAUAAGCCCACGACCCGGCAUCGGGUUGAGGGAAAAGGAGCGAUCCGCUUUGAGAUGGCCUCGCGUCCGAUUAGCUAGUUGGUGAGGUAAUGGCCCACCAAGGCAACGAUCGGUAGCCGGACUGAGAGGUUGAACGGCCACAUUGGGACUGAGACACGGCCCAGACUCCUACGGGAGGCAGCAGUGGGGAAUAUUGCACAAUGGGGGAAACCCUGAUGCAGCGACGCCGCGUGGAGGAAGAAGGUCUUCGGAUUGUAAACUCCUGUUGUUGAGGAAGAUAAUGACGGUACUCAACAAGGAAGUGACGGCUAACUACGUGCCAGCAGCCGCGGUAAAACGUAGGUCACAAGCGUUGUCCGGAAUUACUGGGUGUAAAGGGAGCGCAGGCGGGAAGACAAGUUGGAAGUGAAAUCCAUGGGCUCAACCCAUGAACUGCUUUCAAAACUGUUUUUCUUGAGUAGUGCAGAGGUAGGCGGAAUUCCCGGUGUAGCGGUGGAAUGCGUAGAUAUCGGGAGGAACACCAGUGGCGAAGGCGGCCUACUGGGCACCAACUGACGCUGAGGCUCGAAAGUGUGGGUAGCAAACAGGAUUAGAUACCCUGGUAGUCCACACCGUAAACGAUGAUUACUAGGUGUUGGGAGGAUUGACCCCUUCAGUGCCGCAGUUAAACACAAUAAGUAAUCCACCUGGGGAGUACGACCGCAAAGGUUGAAACUCAAAAGGAAUUGACGGGGGCCCGCACAAGCAGUGGAGUAUGUGGUUUAAUUCGACGCAACGCGAAGAACCUUACCAAGUCUUGACAUCCUGCGACGCACAUAGAAAUAUGUGUUUCCUUCGGGACGCAGAGACAGGUGGUGCAUGGUUGUCGUCAGCUCGUGUCGUGAGAUGUUGGGUUAAGUCCCGCAACGAGCGCAACCCUUAUGGUCAGUUACUACGCAAGAGGACUCUGGCCAGACUGCCGUUGACAAAACGGAGGAAGGUGGGGAUGACGUCAAAUCAUCAUGCCCUUUAUGACUUGGGCUACACACGUACUACAAUGGCGUUAAACAAAGAGAAGCAAGACCGCGAGGUGGAGCAAAACUCAGAAACAACGUCCCAGUUCGGACUGCAGGCUGCAACUCGCCUGCACGAAGUCGGAAUUGCUAGUAAUCGUGGAUCAGCAUGCCACGGUGAAUACGUUCCCGGGCCUUGCACACACCGCCCGUCA
rnacentral:rRNA from 1 species